AGAGUUUGAUCCUGGCUCAGGACGAACGCUGGCGGUGUGCUUCACACAUGCAAGUCGAACGGAGUAGCAAUACUCAGUGGCGGACGGGUGAGUAACACGUGGGAAUCUACCCUUAGAUGGGGAAUAACAGGCCGAAAGGACUGCUAAUGCCGCAUAUGUAUUAACCUCGACAGGGGUGAAUAUGAAAGGAGUAAUCCGUCUGAUGAUGAGCCCGCGUCCGAUUAGCUAGUUGGUAAGGUAAAAGCUUACCAAGGCGACGAUCGGUAGGUGGUCUGAGAGGAUGAUCACCCACAAUGGGACUGAGACACGGCCCAUACUCCUACGGGAGGCAGCAGUGGGGAAUUUUGUGCAAUGGGGGAAACCCUGACACAGCGACACCGCGUGAGCGAAGAAGCCCCUUGGGGUGUAAAGCUCUGUCAACGGGAACGAAAAAAAUGACGGUACCCGUGGAGGAAGCAUCGGCUAACUACGUGCCAGCAGCCGCGGUAAGACGUAGGAUGCAAGCGUUGUCCGGAUUUAUUGGGCGUAAAGAGUUCGUAGGCUGUUUGUUAAGUCUGAUGUUAAAGACCGGGGCUCAACCUCGGAAAUGCAUUGGAUACUGGCAGACUGGAGUGCAGUAGAGGCUAGUGGAAUUCCCAGUGUAGCGGUGAAAUGCGUAGAUAUUGGGAAGAACACCGGUGGCGUAGGCGACUAGCUGGGCUGUAACUGACGCUGAGGAGCGAAAGCGUGGGGAGCGAACAGGAUUAGAUACCCUGGUAGUCC
rnacentral:rRNA from 1 species